GAUGAAAUAUGGUAAUGGAGGCUGAAGAACUCGGAAAUGUUUGUGUUGCCAUCAGCUUCAUCUCCUGAUCUAUGAGUUUGGAGUUAAAUAACAACACGACAUUU
rnacentral:snoRNA from 1 species